UGGGGAAUAUUGCACAAUGGGCGCAAGCCUGAUGCAGCCAUGCCGCGUGUAUGAAGAAGGCCUUCGGGUUGUAUAGUACUUUCAGCGGGGAGGAAGGUGUUGUGGUUAAUAACCACAGCAAUUGACGUUACCCGCAGAAGAAGCACCGGCUAACUCCGUGCCAGCAGCCGCGGUAAUACGGAGGGUGCAAGCGUUAAUCGGAAUUACUGGGCGUAAAGCGCACGCAGGCGGUCUGUCAAGUCGGAUGUGAAAUCCCCGGGCUCAACCUGGGAACUGCAUCCGAAACUGGCAGGCUUGAGUCUUGUAGAGGGGGGUAGAAUUCCAGGUGUAGCGGUGAAAUGCGUAGAGAUCUGGAGGAAUACCGGUGGCGAAGGCGGCCCCCUGGACAAAGACUGACGCUCAGGUGCGAAAGCGUGGGGAGCAAACA
rnacentral:rRNA from 1 species